rnacentral:rRNA from 1 species
AACGAACGCUGGCGGCGCGUUUUAAGCAUGCAAGUCGAACGGUAGAGAAACUUCGGUUUCUUGAGAGUGGCGAACGGGUGAGUAACACGUAGAUGAUCUGCCUUGAAGUUGGGGAUAGCCUAUAGAAAUAUAGGGUAAUACCGAAUAAUUUUUUACCACUAUGGUGGUUUAAGGAAAGGGGCUUCGGCCUCGCUUUAAGAUGAGUCUGCGGUCUAUUAGCUAGUUGGUAGGGUAAUAGCCUACCAAGGCGACGAUAGAUAGCCGGCCUGAGAGGGUGACCGGCCACAUUGGGACUGAGACACGGCCCAAACUCCUACGGGAGGCAGCAGCUAAGAAUCUUCCGCAAUGGGCGAAAGCCUGACGGAGCGACGCCGCGUGGACGAAGAAUGCCGAGAGGUUGUAAAGUCCUUUUAUUUGCGAAGAAUAAUGCCUGUAGGUAAUGACAGGCAGAUGACGUUAGCUUAUGAAUAAGCUCCGGCCAAUUACGUG